GACGAAGGGGGCUAGCGUUGUUCGGAAUUACUGGGCGUAAAGCGAGUGUAGGUGGUUUUCCAAGUUGGAUGUGAAAGCCUUGAGCUCAACUCAAGAAAUGCAUUCAGGACUGGGAGACUAGAGGACCGGAGAGGAUAGUGGAAUUCCCAGUGUAGUGGUGAAAUACGUAGAGAUUGGGAAGAACACCAGUGGCGAAGGCGGCUAUCUGGACGGUUUCUGACACUAAGACUCGAAAGCGUGGGGAG
rnacentral:rRNA from 1 species